rnacentral:rRNA from 1 species
AUUGAACGCUGGCGGUAGGCCUAACACAUGCAAGUCGAACGGCAGCACAGGAGAGCUUGCUCUCUGGGUGGCGAGUGGCGGACGGGUGAGGAAUACAUCGGAAUCUACUUUUUCGUGGGGGAUAACGUAGGGAAACUUACGCUAAUACCGCAUACGACCUACGGGUGAAAGCAGGGGAUCUUCGGACCUUGCGCGAUUGAAUGAGCCGAUGUCGGAUUAGCUAGUUGGCGGGGUAAAGGCCCACCAAGGCGACGAUCCGUAGCUGGUCUGAGAGGAUGAUCAACCACACUGGAACUGAGACACGGUCCAGACUCCUACGGGAGGCAGCAGUGGGGAAUAUUGGACAAUGGGCGCAAGCCUGAUCCAGCCAUACCGCGUGGGUGAAGAAGGCCUUCGGGUUGUAAAGCCCUUUUGUUGGGAAAGAAAUCCAGCUGGUUAAUACCCGGUUGGGAUGACGGUACCCAAAGAAUAAGCACCGGCUAACUUCGUGCCAGCAGCCGCCGUAA